CCUACGGGAGGCUGCAGUGGGGGAUAUUGCACAAUGGAGGAAACUCUGAUGCAGCGACGCCGCGUGAGGGAAGAAGGUUUUCGGAUUGUAAACCUCUGUCUUCGGGGACGAAACAAAUGACGGUACUCGAGGAGGAAGCCACGGCUAACUACGUGCCAGCAGCCGCGGUAAUACGUAGGUGGCAAGCGUUGUCCGGAAUUACUGGGUGUAAAGGGAGCGCAGGCGGAACUGCAAGUUGGGUGUUUAAUCUACGGGCUCAACCCGUAUCAGCAUUCAAAACUGUGGUUCUUGAGUAAUGCAGAGGUAGGCGGAAUUCCCGGUGUAGCGGUGGAAUGCGUAGAUAUCGGGAGGAACACCAGUGGCGAAGGCGGCCUACUGGGCAUCAACUGACGCUGAGGCUCGAAAGCAUGGGUAGCAAACAGGCUUAGAUACCCCUGUAGUC
rnacentral:rRNA from 1 species